rnacentral:rRNA from 1 species
GCUGCAUGGUUGUCGUCAGCUCGUGCCGUGAGGUGUCGGGUUAAGUCCCAUAACGAGCGCAACCCUUACUGUUAGUUGCCAGCGGGUAAUGCCGGGAACUCUAGCGGGACUGCCACCGUAAGGUGAGAGGAAGGUGGGGAUGACGUCAAAUCAGCACGGCCCUUAUGUCCAGGGCUACACACGUGUUACAGUGGCCGGUACAAAGGGCAGCUACACCGCGAGGUGAUGCUAAUCUCGAAAGCCGGUCUCAGUUCGGAUCGAAGUCUGCAACCCGACUUCGUGAAGUUGGAUUCGCUAGUAAUCGCGCAUCAGCCAUGGCGCGGUGAAUACGUUCCCGGGCCUU